GGGAUUGCCCUAGUAACGGCGAGUGAAGCGGCAACAGCUCAAAUUUGAAAUCUGGCCCUCGGGUCCGAAUUGUAAUUUGUAGAGGAUGCUUUUGGUGCGGUGCCUUCCGAGUUCCCUGGAACGGGACGCCAGAGAGGGUGAGAGCCCCGUACGGUUGGACACCUACCCUAUAUAUAGCUCCUUCGACGAGUCGAGUAGUUUGGGAAUGCUGCUCUAAAUGGGAGGUAAAUUUCUUCUAAAGCUAAAUACCGGCCAGAGACCGAUAGCGCACAAGUAGAGUGAUCGAAAGAUGAAAAGCACUUUGAAAAGAGGGUUAAAUAGCACGUGAAAUUGUUGAAAGGGAAGCGUUUGUGACCAGACUUUUUCCUGGCGGAUCAUCCGGUGUUCUCACCGGUGCACUUCGCCUGGUUUAGGCCAGCAUCGGUUUCCGGAGGGGGAUAAAAGCCUGGGGCAUGUGGCUCUUUCGGGAGUGUUAUAGCCCCUCGCAUAAUACCUCUCCUGGGGACCGAGGACCGCGCUUCGGCAAGGAUGCUGGCGUAAUGGUUAUCAACGACCCGUCUUGAAACACGGACCAAGGAGUCGAACAUUUGUGCGAGUGUUUGGGUAUCAAACCCUCACGCGUAAUGAAAGUGAACGGAGGUGAGAGCCCCUCGGGGUGCAUCAUCGACCGAUCCUGAUGUCUUCGGAUGGAUUUGAGUAAGAGCAUAACUGUUCGGACCCGAAAGAUGGUGAACUAUGCGUGGAUAGGGUGAAGCCAGAGGAAACUCUGGUGGAGGCUCGCAGCGGUUCUGACGUGCAAAUCGAUCGUCAAAUCUGCGCAUGGGGGCGAAAGA
rnacentral:rRNA from 1 species